UUAAAUUGCCGCAGUAUUUUGACUGUGCAAAGGUAGCAUAAUAAUUAGUUUCUUGAUUAGGAACUGGUAUGAAUGAUUGGACGAGAAAAUUUCUGUCUCUUUUGGAAGGUUUAUUGAAUUUUAUUUUUGAGUUAAAAAGCUCAAAUUUUUAUAAAAGACGAGAAGACCCUAUAGAGUUUAAUAUUUAAUUGUUUAUUAAAUUUUGGAAAUAGUUUUUUACAUUAAGUAUUUAGUUGGGGUGACUUAAAGAUUAAAUAAAUUCUUUAAAUUUUUAAUUGUUGAUAAAUAAUUUUUAAAUCUAGUUUUUUAAAUUUAAAAUUAAUUACCUUAGGGAUAACAGCGUAAUUUUUCUUUAGAGUUCUUAUUGAAAGAAGAUUUUGCGACCUCGAUGUUGGAUUAAAAUUAAUUUUUGGUGCAGUAACUAAAAAAUUAGGUCUGUUCGACCUUUAAAAUUUUACAUGAUCUGAGUUUAAACCGGUGUAAGCCAGGUUGGAUUCUAUCUUUAGUUUUAUAAUAUAUUUUAGUACGAAAGGACCAAAUAUAUAUUAAAUUUAAUUA
rnacentral:rRNA from 1 species